UCGCGGCUCUAUCAGCUUGUUGGUGAGGUAAUGGCUCAUCAAGGCUUAGACGGGUAGCCGUCCUGAGAGAGUGACCGGCCACACUGGGACUGAGAUACGGCCCAGACUCCUAGCGGGAGGCAGCAGUGGGGAAUAUUGCACAAUGGGUCCAAGCCUGAUGCAGCAACGCCGCGUGCGGGAUGACGGCCUUCGGGUUGUAAACCGCUUUCAGUAGGGACCAAGAAAACGGUUCGGUCCUUCCAGAAGAAGGUCCGGCUAAAUCAAAACCAGCAGCGGGGUUAAUACGUAGGUUUUCACUCGUUGUCCGGAAUUAUUGGGCGCAAAGGGUUUGUAGGCGGUAAUUCCGGUCAGGAGUGAAAACUUGGGUAUCAACCCCGAGCCUGCUUUUGAUACGGGCGGUCUAGAGGGAUGCAGGGGAGAACGGAAUUCCUGGUGGAGCGGUGGAAUGGGCACAUAUCAGGAGGAACACCGGUGGCGAAGGCGGUUCUCUGGGCAUCACCCGCCCAGAGAAGCGAUUGCGUGGGGAGCAAACAGGCUUAGAUACCGUGGUAGUCUCAGCCCCAACGGUGGGCUCUAUGUGUGGGGGACGUUUCACGUUCUAAGCGUUGAAGAUACAGCCCUCACCAACAAGCUGAUAAGU
rnacentral:rRNA from 1 species